GAAGUGCGAUAAGCAAUGCGAAUUGCAGAAUUCCGCGAGUCAUCAGAUCUUUGAACACAUAUGGCGCCGGAGGGAUAUCCUUCUGGCAUGUCUGUUUCAGUGUCUGAGAGGUUUCACCAACAUCUUAAUGUGAUUGACAGCAGCAGCAGCAGCAAGCAAUUGUUGUGGUUGGUGUUGUCUCUCAUGAAAGAUGUGCGAGUGGAUCUUUCGGUCCAAUGAAGUGGUCACAUCACUCGUAUGUGAUUUCAUUGGGAGCACCGAAUUAUCCGCCAUGCUCGCGGUGUCAUCAUAUAAUAUAUGACGAAAGCAAGAAAGAAAGAAAGAGCUUCUUUCUUCUUCUUCUUCUUUGGUUGUAUUUUUUUUCUCUCUCUACACCCUGCAUCUGAGAUAGGCAAGAUCACCCGCUGAACUUAAGC
rnacentral:misc_RNA from 1 species